rnacentral:other from 1 species
UGCAAUCUGAGAUAUUCGUGAAGCUUAUAUUUUGAACCUACAUUGUGUAUAAGGGAGUCCGAUAUAAAGCAAUGAAUAUCAGGCCCAUUAUAAGUCCGAUUCCGGCAGGGGAAGAUAGAAAUUCUUUUGAGGGCACCCACCUAUCGAGAGAUAGGUGUCAAAAUACAAGCAACGGUAUCUUGGAUUAUUA